rnacentral:lncRNA from 1 species
GGCCUUUCAUAGUCAUCUUGCACGUUAAACCCCAUGGGUAUUUUGAAAUGUUAGCAGGUAUGCAUAUAUCUUAAUUCAAGAUUACAAAAAACAACAAAAUUCAUAUCAAUCAACUUAAGUUUGGUUGGAAUUAGUUCAGUAGUUUCAAAGGAGAAGAAGUUUGGAAAUAUGAUAAACAAAUUGUGUAAAAUUGUCUUUAAAGGGCAAUAACUCCUUCAGGGGUCAAUUGACAGUUUUGGUUAUAUAAACUUAUUUGUAGAUCUUACUUUGCUGAAAAAUUUUGUUGUUUACAGUUUAUCAGAUUUGCUCAAACUGCUUUGGUUUUUGAGAUAUAUAAGCCAAAAUCUACAUUUUACCCCUAUGUUCUAUUUUCAGCCUUGGUGUCCAUGUUCUUUGAUCAAACAGAAAAUAAAACACCAACUUUAUUCUAGAUACUCUAAGGAUCAUUCAGCUUAAGUUUGGUUUGAAUUGGUUCAGUAGUUUCAGAGGAGAAGAUGUUUGAAAUAGUUUACACCAAACAUACGGCGACGGACACCAAAUGAUGGCUAAAGGUCACCUUUCCGAAUGUUUUCAAUUAAUUGUUGAAAGAUACCAUGGAUGCAUGAUUUUCUUUCCUUGACACAUUUCAGGAGUCAAGCAGAGAUUAACCAACAUUAUCUACACACAAUUU